AGUGCUCAUCACACUGUGAUACAGUUACUUACUAAUAUCUUUUUCUACUCAAUUUUCUGUGCACUCACAGAAGGCAGAAACUGUACCUUUCAUUUCCAUGAUUCUCAUGGAUAAAGCCCUCAAUAAAUGUUUGCCAGAUGAAUGACUUGCCCAAGGUCACACUGCUAAUAUAUGGCAGAACCGGGACCAGAACCAAGACCUCCGACUCCCCAGAUCCCAUAUCCUUGCUGUUCUCCUGGGAUGUUUUCUGGAAGAAAAUGAGCUGUGGGCCUAAAAAGAAGCCAAUCAAGCAUUUGGCAGGCUCAGAUUGGAAAUAUACCAUUAGCUGUCCUGGGCCUCGAGUUUGCCAACCUCAGAUCUUGGGACUUCUCUACCUCCAUAAUCAUUAAACUUUUUUUUUCAGUGCCCUGGAUGUGCCACAUUCCCUCACAACUCCGAACCUUGAAAGUGCUGUUCCUUCAGCUUGGAAGUCUUCCUCACUCCUGACCCGCACCACCUCACCUGGCUAACUCCUAUUUACAUCAGGCUCAGCUCAGAGGCGCCUUGGAGGCAUUGGAGACAGGAUGCAGGGAAGGAGCCCCCUCUGCUUCCACUACUGAGCAGGGAUUAGUCCAGAAGGUACCCAGGAGGGGAAAGGUGGACUGAAAGACUGCUUUUCCUCCCCUUUAACCCUCCCUUCUGUCUCUACAAAAAUCAAAUCAAAAUGGAUUAAUGACUUAAAUCUAAGACCUCAAACUAUAAAACUACUAAAAGAAAACAUUGGGGAAACUCUCCAGGACAUUGGUUGGGGAAGAUAUUUCUUGAGUAAUACCCCACAAGCACAGACAACCAAAGCAAAAAUGGACAAAUGGGAUCACGUCAAGUUAACAAGCUUCUGCACAGCAAAGGAAACAACCAACAAAGUGAAGAGACAACCUACGGAACGGGAGAAAAUAUUUGCAAAUUACCCAUCUGACAAAGGAUUAACAAUCAGAAUAUAGAAGGAGCUCAAACAACUCUACAGGAAAAUAAAUCUAAUACUCCAAUAAAAAAUGCCCAAAAGACUUGAAUGGGCAUUUCUCAAAAGAAGUCAUAAAUGGCAAACAGGUAUAUGAAAAGGUGCUCAACAUCACAGAUAAUCAAAGAAAUGCAGAUCAAAACCACAGUGAGAUAUCAUCUCACCCCAGUCAAAAUGGGUUAUAUACAAAAGACAGGCAAUAAUAAAUGCUGGUGAGGAUGUGGAGAAAAGAGAAUCCAUGUACAGUGUUGGUGGGAAUGUAAAUUAGUACAAGCACUCUGAAGGACAGUUUGGAGGUUCUUCAAAAAACUAAAAAUAUAGCUACCAUAUGGUCCAGCAAUCCCACUGCUGGGUAUGAACCUAAAAGAAAGGAAAUCAGUGUAUUGAAGAGAUGUCUGCACUCCCAUGUUUGUUGCAGCACUGUCACAAUAGCCAAGAUUUGAAACCAACCUAAAUAUCCAUCCACAGAUGAAUGCAUAAGGAAAACGUGGUAGAUAUACACAAUGGAGUACUAUUCAGCUUUGAGAAAGAAUGAGAUCCUAUCAUUUGCAACAUGGCUGGAACUGGAGGUCAUUAUGUUAAAUGAAAUAAGCCAGGCACAGAAAGACAAACAUUACAUGUUCUGACUUAUUUGUGGGAUGUAAAAAUCAAAACAAUUGAACUCAUGGAGAUAAGUCAGUUAGAAGGACGGUUACCAGAGGCUGGGAAGGCUUGUGGCGGGGGGCAGGGAGGAGAUGGGGGAGAGGUAGAGUAGGGUAAUGGGUACCAAAAAAAAGUUGGAAAGAAUGAAUAAGACCUAGUAUUUGAUAGAAUAGGGAGACUAUAAUAAAAAAUAAUUUAAUUAUACAUUCUAAAAUAACUAAAAGAAUGUAAUUAGAUUGCUUGUAACACAAAGGAUAAAUGCUUGAGGAGAAGGAUAUGCCAUUUUCCAUGAUGGGAUUAUUAUGCAUUCCAUGCUUGUAUCAAAGUAUCUCAUGUACCGCAUAAAUAUAUACACAACUAUGUAACCCCAAAAAUGAAAAAUUAAAAAUUUUUUUAAAACGAAGUUUCACUCUUGUCACCCAGGCUGGAGUGCAAUGGCACCAUCUUGGCUCACGGCAACCUCCACCUCCUAGGUUCAAGCGAUUCUCCUGCCUCAGCCUCCUGAGUAGCUGAGAUUACAGGCAUGUGCCACCAUGCCGGACUAAUUUUUGUAUUUUUAGUAGAGAUGGGGUUUCACCAUGUUGGCCAAG
rnacentral:lncRNA from 1 species